UAACGCGUGGGUAACCUGGCCCAUACAGGGGGAUAACACUUAGAAAUAGGUGCUAAUACCGCAUAACAACAGAAAGCGCAUGCUUUUUGUUUGAAAACCAAGGUGGUAUGGGAUGGACCCGCGUCUGAUUAGCUGGUUGGCGGGGUAAAGGCCCACCAAGGCGACGAUCAGUAGCCGGCCUGAGAGGGUGGACGGCCACAUUGGGACUGAGACACGGCCCAAACUCCUACGGGAGGCAACAGUGGGGAAUAUUGCACAAUGGGGGAAACCCUGAUGCAGCGACGCCGCGUGAGUGAAGAAGUAAUUCGUCAUGUAAAGCUCUAUCAGCAGGGAAGAAAAUGACGGUACCUGAGUAAGAAGCCCCGGCUAACUACGUGCCAGCAGCCGCGGUAAUACGUAGGGGGCAAGCGUUAUCCGGAUUUACUGGGUGUAAAGGGAGCGUAGACGGCAGUGCAAGUCUGGAGUGAAAGGCGGGGGCUCAACCCCCGGACUGCUCUGGAAACUGUACGGCUGGAGUGCAGGAGAGGUAAGUGGAAUUCCUAGUGUAGCGGUGAAAUGCGUAGAUAUUAGGAGGAACACCAGUGGCGAAGGCGGCUUACUGGACUGUAACUGACGUUGAGGCUCGAAAGCGUGGGGAGCAAACAGGAUUAGAUACCCUGGUAGUCCACGC
rnacentral:rRNA from 1 species